rnacentral:rRNA from 1 species
GAUGAACGCUGGCGGCGUGCCUAAUACAUGCAAGUCGAGCGAACGGACGAGAAGCUUGCUUCUUUGAUGUUAGCGGCGGACGGGUGAGUAACACGUGGAUCACCUACUUAUAAUACUGGGAUAACUUCGGGAAACCGGAGCUAAUACCGGAUAAUAUUUUGAACCGCAUGGUUCAAAAGUGAAUGACGGUCUUGCUGUCACUUAUAGAUGGAUCCGCGCUGCAUUAGCUAGUUGGUAAGGUAACGGCUUACCAAGGCGACGAUGCGUAGCCGACCUGAGAGGCUGGUCGGCGACAUUGGAACUGAGACAGGGUCAAGAGUACUACGGUAGGCAGCAGUGGGGAAUAUUGGACAAUGGGCGGAAGCAUGGUACAGCGAUACCGCGUGGGUGAAGAAGGCGUUCGGGUUGUAAAGACCUUCUGUUGGGAAAGAAAAGCAGCCGGUUAAUACGACGCUGUUCUGACGGUACCGAAAGAAUAAGCACCGGCUAACUUCGUG